GAUGAACGCUGGCGGCGUGCUUAACACAUGCAAGUCGAACGAACCUUCGGGUUAGUGGCGGACGGGUGAGUAAUGCCUAGGAAAUUGCCCUGAUGUGGGGGAUAACCAUUGGAAACGAUGGCUAAUACCGCAUGAUGCCUACGGGCCAAAGAGGGGGACCUUCGGGCCUCUCGCGUCAGGAUAUGCCUAGGUGGGAUUAGCUAGUUGGUGAGGUAAGGGCUCACCAAGGCGACGAUCCCUAGCUGGUCUGAGAGGAUGAUCAGCCACACUGGAACUGAGACACGGUCCAGACUCCUACGGGAGGCAGCAGUGGGGAAUAUUGCACAAUGGGCGCAAGCCUGAUGCAGCCAUGCCGCGUGUGUGAAGAAGGCCUUCGGGUUGUAAAGCACUUUCAGUCGUGAGGAAGGUAGUGUAGUUAAUAGCUGCAUUAUUUGACGUUAGCGACAGAAGAAGCACCGGCUAACUCCGUGCCAGCCGCCGCCGUAACAC
rnacentral:rRNA from 1 species